UGUACUUGCCAGGCAGGGAGGCCUAUGUGGAGUCUUAAACUUGACAGGGAAUGCCUGUUGCUUUAACAUUUCUGAUAAUGGUGAGGCAAUCCGUGUGUUGGCCACAAAGAUGGAGAGUAUAGCACAUGUCCCAGUACAAAUAUGGGAAGGAUGGGAUAUGGGAUGGCUCACCAAUUGGUUACCUAAUGUUGCGGGACUCAAAGGGAUACUAUUGUCUUGCUUGUUUUUCUUGACGGUAGUAGUAAUGGUUUUAUGUACGGUGCCAUGUAUCAUUUCAUGUUUUAGAAGUACAAUUAGCAAGAUGAUUUCAAAUGAAACUUUACCUCAUAUUAUGGCCCUAUACAGAGCUUUACCUCAGGAAUAUGACGAAGGUCAAGCUAUCAAGGACACUUGGGAUGAAGGUCCUUGAGCUUGAAAGGGGGGAAUGAGGCAUCUGAUCAAGAUCUGCUUUGAGCUUAAAAAAUAUAUUUGUAGAUAUUUUUAUCUCUCAUGCCAGGGAAGAUCAGCUGAAUACUCUGGCAGCUGUUCAAGGGGCCCCACUGCUAUAAAUAAAAGUAUUUCAAGGUUGUAAAAGGAAAUUAGAGCCAGAGAGCAAAAGGUCACACUGACCAGAAUACAAUCAAGCUGCAAAAGCACAAUUAAGAGCUGGUAAAUAGUGAAAUUUAUUGUUUAACAGAAGACUCGAGCCAUAAGGUUAAAGGUUAAAUUGCAAGAGGAACAGCAGCUGGUUAGAAAAAAAAGGUUUCUCUCCAAACUGUUUU
rnacentral:lncRNA from 1 species